AUCGCUUCUCGGCCUUUUGGCUAAGAUCAAGUGCAAAAAUUAAUAGUGUACAUAUGCUACAGGUAGCACCCCUACCAGAUUAAGUUAGAUUCUUCCUGAGUUCAGAUCAGGACAGGUUUUCCUGGGAAAUGAAUUAUAAAAACCUUUGAUUUUCAGAGAUUUGGGAUUUCAGAAUUACA
rnacentral:snRNA from 1 species